UUUUGACCUCGGAUCAGGUAGGGAUACCCGCUGAACUUAAGCAUAUCAAUAAGCGGAGGAAAAGAAACCAACAGGGAUUGCCCUAGUAACGGCGAGUGAAGCGGCAACAGCUCAAAUUUGAAAUCUGGCUCUUUUUAGAGUCCGAGUUGUAAUUUGCAGAGGGCGCUUUGGCUUUGGCAGCGGUCCAAGUUCCUUGGAACAGGACGUCACAGAGGGUGAGAAUCCCGUACGUGGUCGCUGGCUAUUGCCGUGUAAAGCCCCUUCGACGAGUCGAGUUGUUAGGGAAUGCAGCUCUAAAUGGGAGGUACAUUUCUUCUAAAGCUAAAUAUUGGCCAGAGACCGAUAGCGCACAAGUAGAGUGAUCGAAAGAUGAAAAGCACUUUGGAAAGAGAGUCAAACAGCACGUGAAAUUGUUGAAAGGGAAGCGCUUGCAGCCAGACUUGCUUGCAGUUGCUCAUCCGGGCUUUUGCCCGGUGCACUCUUCUGUAGGCAGGCCAGCAUCAGUUUGGGCGGUGGGAUAAAGGUCUCUGUCACGUACCUCUCUUCGGGGAGGCCUUAUAGGGGAGACGACAUACCACCAGCCUGGACUGAGGUCCGCGCAUCUGCUAGGAUGCUGGCGUAAUGGCUGUAAGCGGC
rnacentral:rRNA from 1 species